GUUUUAAUAAUUUAAUAUAAAAUAUUGGUCUUGUAAAUCAAAAAUAAGAAAAAUCUUUUAAAACU
rnacentral:tRNA from 1 species